rnacentral:rRNA from 1 species
AGUGAACGCUGGCGGUAGGCCUAACACAUGCAAGUCGAACGGCAGCACAGUAAGAGCUUGCUCUUACGGGUGGCGAGUGGCGGACGGGUGAGGAAUACAUCGGAAUCUACUUUUUCGUGGGGGAUAACGUAGGGAAACUUACGCUAAUACCGCAUACGACCUACGGGUGAAAGCAGGGGAUCUUCGGACCUUGCGCGAUUGAAUGAGCCGAUGUCGGAUUAGCUAGUUGGCGGGGUAACGGCCCACCAAGGCGACGAUCCGUAGCUGGUCUGAGAGGAUGAACAGCGACAGUGGGACUGAGACACGGUCCAGACUCCUACGUGAGGCAGCAGUGGGGAAUAUUGGACAAUGGGCGCAAGCCUGAUCCAGCCAUACCGCGUGGGUGAAGAAGGCCUUCGGGUUGUAAAGCCCUUUUGUUGGGAAAGAAAAGCAGCAGGUUAAUACCCCGCUGUUCUGACGGUACCCAAAGAAUAAGCACCGGCUAACUUCGUG